rnacentral:rRNA from 1 species
AAUUUUCGGCAAUGGGGGCAACCCUGACCGAGCGACGCCGCGUGAGUGAAGAAGGUCUUCGGAUUGUAAAGCACUUUAAGUUGGGAGGAAGGGCUUUAGGUUAAUACCCUGAAGUUUUGACGUUACCAACAGAAUAAGCACCGGCUAACUCUUUGCCAGCAGCCGCGGUAAUACAGAGGGUGCAAGCGUUAAUCGGAAUUACUGGGCGUAAAGCGCGCGUAGGUGGUUAAGUAAGAUGGGUGUGAAAUCCCCGGGCUUAACCUGGGAACUGCUUUCAUAACUGCUGAGCUAGAGUACGGUAGAGGGUAGUGGAAUUUCCUGUGUAGCGGUGAAAUGCGUAGAUAUAGGAAGGAACACCAGUGGCGAAGGCGACUACCUGGACUGAUACUGACACUGAGGUGCGAAAGCGUGGGGAGCAAACA